rnacentral:tRNA from 2 species
GGGCGAUUAACUCAGUGGGAGAGUGCCACCUUCACACGGUGGAAGUCGCUGGUUCGAACCCAGCAUCGCCCACCA